AGCGCCGGGGCAAGCGCGAGCCGGACGGGCACUGGGCGACUCUGUGCCUCGCGGAGGAAAAUCAACUAAACAUGGGCAAAGGAGAUCCUAAGGAGCCGAGAGGCAAAAUGUCCUCAUAUGCAUUCUUUGUGCAAACCUGCCGGGAGGAGCACAAGAAGAAGCACCCGGAUGCUUCUGUCAACUUCUCAGAGUUCUCCAAGAAGUGCUCAGAGAGGUGGAAGACCAUGUCUGCUAAAGAAAAGGGGAAAUUUGAAGAUAUGGCAAAGGCUGACAAGGCUCGUUAUGAAAGAGAAAUGAAAACCUACAUCCCCCCCAAAGGGGAGACCAAAAAGAAGUUCAAGGACCCCAAUGCACCCAAGAGGCCUCCUUCGGCCUUCUUCUUGUUCUGUUCUGAGUACCGCCCCAAAAUCAAAGGAGAGCAUCCUGGCUUAUCCAUUGGUGAUGUUGCAAAGAAACUAGGAGAGAUGUGGAACAACACUGCAGCGGAUGACAAGCAGCCCUAUGAGAAGAAGGCUGCCGAGCUGAAGGAGAAGUACGAGAAGGAUAUUGCUGCCUACAGAGCUAAAGGAAAACCUGAUGCAGCGAAAAAGGGGGUGGUCAAGGCUGAAAAGAGCAAGAAAAAGAAGGAAGAGGAAGAUGAUGAGGAGGAUGAAGAGGAUGAGGAAGAGGAGGAAGAAGAGGAAGAUGAAGAUGAAGAAGAAGAUGAUGAUGAUGAAUAAGUUGGUUCUAGCGCAGUUUUUUUUCUUAUCUAUAAAGCAUUUAACCCCCCUGUACACAACUCACUCCUUUUAAAGAAAAAAAUUGAAAUGUAAGGCUGUGUAAGAUUUGUUUUUAAACUGUACAGUGUCUUUUUUUGUAUAGUUAACACACUACCGAAUGUGUCUUUAGAUAGCCCUGUCCUGGUGGUAUUUUCAAUAGCCACUAACCUUGCCUGGUACAGUCUGGGGGUUGUAAAUUGGCAUGGAAAUUUAAAGCAGGUUCUUGUUGGUGCACAGCACAAAUUAGUUAUAUAUGGGGACAGUAGUUUGGUUUUUUUAUUUUGUUUUUGUUUUUCCUUUUGGUUUUAUUUUUGGGUUUUAUUUUUUCCAUCUUCAGUUGUCUCUGAUGCAGCUUAUACGAAGAUAAUUGUUGUUCUCUUAACUGAAUACCACUCUGUAAUUGCAAAAAAAAAAAAAAUGCGGCUGUUUUGUUGACAUUCUGAAUGCUUCUAAGUAAAUACAAUUU